GAUGAAGAACGCAGCGAAAUGCGAUAAGUAAUGUGAAUUGCAGAAUUCAGUGAAUCAUCGAAUCUUUGAACGCACAUUGCGCCCCCUGGUAUUCCGGGGGGCAUGCCUGUCCGAGCGUCAUUACAACCCUCAAGCUCAGCUUGGUAUUGGGCCCCGCCGACCCGGCGGGCCCUAAAGUCAGUGGCGGUGCCGUCCGGCUCCGAGCGUAGUAAUUCUUCUCGCUCUGGAGGUCCGGUCGUGUGCUCGCCAGCAACCCCCAAUUUUUUUCAGGUUGACCUCGGAUCAGGUAGGGAUUCCCGCUGAACUUAAGCAUAUCAAUAAGCGGAGGA
rnacentral:misc_RNA from 1 species